rnacentral:rRNA from 1 species
AAGGCUAAACAGCAAUUAUAUUGGAAAAGAGGAAAACAACUUUACAGGCUUCCUUAAAGGGAAUAAAAUCCAAAAGUUGAACUCCUCAAAGUACGAAAAACUCACCUCGGUAGGUGUAUAUAUUAUACUAAGAGUUUUUAAGUAAUACUCGUUGGUCGUCUCUUGUUCUUGUUGUUAUCACUACUCUUUCCUUCCUCGGCUCAUACGGUGUGUGACUAUGCUACCAAAGGGGACACAAGAGAUAUAUACCAUUAGGUGAAGAAGUGACUGAGUUUAACAAAUGACCACUCGAUUGUUCUACCAAAACAGAAGGGAGAAAGAAACAUUCACUUACUGAAGUCCAAGAACCCGUAAUAAGUUGACGGUAUGAACACCCUUUAUUUACAUGAUUUGAACACUCUACCUAACUAAUUACCCGUCACCUUACCCUAAUCCCGAGCGUUAAAUGUUUGUUACUCAACGUUGAUAUUUCUUACCUAACUAAUUAUCCGUCGCCUUACCCUAAUCCCGAGACGUAUCAAUACUCAACGUUGAUGUUUCUUACCUAACUAAUUACCCAUCAUAUUACCCUAAUCCCUAGACGUGUCAAUACUCAACGUUGAUGUUUCUUACCUAACUAAUUACCCAUCACUUUACCCUAAUCCCUAGCGUUAAAUGUUUGUUGAGUUUUUGCGAUUUUCAUUGUUUUUAUACUCAGCGUGAACCCAUGCACCAACUUUUCUUUUACUUAGUAACUUUACGAAGACGGAGGGUUUCUCCGCAU